rnacentral:rRNA from 1 species
AGUGAACGCUGGCGGUAGGCCUAACACAUGCAAGUCGAACGGCAGCACAGUAAGAGCUUGCUCUUACGGGUGGCGAGUGGCGGACGGGUGAGGAAUACAUCGGAAUCUACUUUUUCGUGGGGGAUAACGUAGGGAAACUUAUGCUAAUACCGCAUACGACCUACGGGUGAAAGCAGGGGAUCUUCGGACCUUGCGCGAUUGAAUGAGCCGAUGUCGGAUUAGCUAGUUGGCGGGGUAAAGGCCCACCAAGGCGACGAUCCGUAGCUGGUCUGAGAGGAUGAUCAGCCACACUGGAACUGAGACACGGUCCAGACUCCUACGGGAGGCAGCAGUGGGGAAUAUUGGGCAAUGGGCGCAAGCCUGAUCCAGCCAUACCGCGUGGGUGAAGAAGGCCUUCGGGUUGUAAAGCCCUUUUGUUGGGAAAGAAAAGCAGCAGGUUAAUACCCCGCUGUUCUGACGGUACCCAAAGAAUAAGCAACGGCUAACUUCGUG